rnacentral:tRNA from 1 species
UCCUUGGUGGUCCAGUGGCUAAGACUCCUCACUCCCAGGGCAGGGGGCCCAGGUUCAAUUCUUGGUCAGGGAA